rnacentral:rRNA from 1 species
GUGUCGGCAGCCGCGGUAAUACGUAGGUGGCAAGCGUUAUCCGGAAUUAUUGGGCGUAAAGCGCGCGCAGGUGGUUUCUUAAGUCUGAUGUGAAAGCCCACGGCUCAACCGUGGAGGGUCAUUGGAAACUGGGAGACUUGAGUGCAGAAGAGGAAAGUGGAAUUCCAUGUGUAGCGGUGAAAUGCGUAGAGAUAUGGAGGAACACCAGUGGCGAAGGCGACUUUCUGGUCUGUAACUGACACUGAGGCGCGAAAGCGUGGGGAGCAAACAGGAUUAGAUACCCGAGUAGUCC